rnacentral:rRNA from 1 species
GAUGAACGCUGGCGGCGUGCCUAAUACAUGCAAGUCGAGCGAACAGACGAGGAGCUUGCUCCUCUGACGUUAGCGGCGGACGGGUGAGUAACACGUGGAUAACCUACCUAUAAGACUGGGAUAACUUCGGGAAACCGGAGCUAAUACCGGAUAAUAUAUUGAACCGCAUGGUUCAAUAGUGAAAGACGGUUUUGCUGUCACUUAUAGAUGGAUCCGCGCCGCAUUAGCUAGUUGGUAAGGUAACGGCUUACCAAGGCGACGAUGCGUAGCCGACCUGAGAGGGUGAGGGGCCACACUGGAACUGAGACACGGUCCAGACUCCUAGGGGAGGCAGAAGAAGGGAAUCUUCGGCAAGGGGCGAAGGCGGGAGGGAGCAACCCCGCGUGAGUAAUGAAGGUCUUCGGAUCGAAAAACUCUGUUAUAGGGAAAAAAAAAAUGUGAAAGUACCUAUGCACGUUUUGACGGAACAAAAAAAGAAAGCCACGGCAAACUACGUG